rnacentral:rRNA from 1 species
AUUGAACGCUGGCGGCAGGCUUCACACAUGCAAGUCGAACGGUAACAGGAGAAAGCUUGCUCUCUUGCUGACGAGUGGCGGACGGGUGAGUAAUGCUUGGGAAUCUGGCUUAUGGAGGGGGAUAACGACGGGAAACUAUCGCUAAUACCGCGUAGUAUCGAGAGAUGAAAGUGCGGGACCGCAAGGCCGCAUGCCAUAGGAUGAGCCCAAGUGGGAUUAGGUAGUUGGUGGGGUAAAGGCCUACCAAGCCGACGAUCUCUAGCUGGUCUGAGAGGAUGACCAGCCACACCGGGACUGAGACACGGCCCGGACUCCUACGGGAGGCAGCAGUGGGGAAUAUUGCGCAAUGGGGGCAACCCUGACGCAGCCAUGCCGCGUGAAUGAAGAAGGCCUUCGGGUUGUAAAGUUCUUUCGGUGACGAGGAAGGCGUGAUGUUUAAUAGGCAUCACGAUUGACGUUAAUCACAGAAGAAGCACCGGCUAACUCCGUGCCAGCAGCCGCGGUAAUACGGAGGAUGCGAGCGUUAAUCGGAAUAACUGGGCGUAAAGGGCACGCAGGCGGCUAUUUAAGUGAGGUGUGAAAUCCCCGGGCUUAACCUGGGAAUUGCAUUUCAGACUGGGUAGCUAGAGUACUUUAGGGAGGGGUAGAAUUCCACGUGUAGCGGUGAAAUGCGUAGAGAUGUGGAGGAAUACCGAAGGCGAAGGCAGCCCCUUGGGAAUGUACUGACGCUCAUGUGCGAAAGCGUGGGGAGCAAACAGGAUUAGAUACCCUGGUAGUCCACGCUGUAAACGCUGUCGAUUUGGGGAUUGGGCCUUGAGCUUGGUGCCCGAAGCUAACGUGAUAAAUCGACCGCCUGGGGAGUACGGCCGCAACGUUAAAACUCAAAUGAGUUGACGGGGGCCCGCACAAGCGGUGGAGCAUGUGGUUUAAUUCG